AACGAACGCUGGCGGCGCGUCUUAACCAUGCAAGUCGAGCGGCAGGCAGCAAUGCCGAGAGCGGCGGACUGGCGAGUAACACGUGGAUAACGUACCCCGAUGUCCGGGACAGCCUGUAGCAAUAGAGGGUAAUACCGGAUAGAUCACUGUUUACGUGAGGUAGACAGCGGGAAAGGAGCUUCGGCUCCGCGACGGGAUCGGUCUGCGGCCCAUCAGCUGGACGGCGGGGUAAAGGCCCGCCGUGGCGAGGACGGGUAUCCGGCCUGAGAGGGCGGACGGACACAUUGGGACUGAGAUACGGCCCAGACUCCUACGGGAGGCAGCAGGUAAGAAUAUUCCGCAAUGGGGGGAACCCUGACGGAGCGACGCCGCGUGAACGAAGAAGGCCGGAAGGUUGUAAAGUUCUUUUCUGUCCGAGGAAUAAGUGUCGGAGGAAAUGCCGGGACGGUGACGGUAGGGCAGGAAUAAGCACCGGCUAAUUACGUG
rnacentral:rRNA from 1 species